AACAGUGACAGCAGCUGCAUAAAUAAGUGUGGGUAUUUCUAUGAAUGUUGUUUCUGCAUUAAUAAAUUUUGGUAGAAUGUGUGUGUUCAUACAGUGUAGUGUAUUGUUCGACUGUUGUGAGUUGUGAAGUUUAGGAAUGCGUGGAUGUUGUGUGGGAUCUGUACCUGUGAAUUUGGUUAAUGUUUCCUGGAGUGUGUCAGUGAGUUUAUUUAUUAGGUCUGUGUCAGUGUUGUUAAUGGCAAUAUAUUGUUGUCAGUGGAUGUUAUUUCUGGUGUCUAUUCCACUUUGUGUUCUAUUUGUGUGUGUGAAUCGGUUUCAUGUUGUGAUAUUUGUUGUACUACGUGAGUUUUAAUGUUAUCUAAUGUACUGCAUGGUAUGAGAUUUUUGUGGAUGAUGGUUCUUCUUUGAUCUGCUAUGCAUUGUUCUGUAACUGUGAUGUUUGGGUAUCUGCUUGUGAAUUUGUCAUAGAGUUCCCUUCUGUAUCCUGUAGUGUUGGUUUCUAAUUUUGUAAUUGUGUAAUAUGUACACAUGAUGAAUUCAUUCAUGUCUUUUGUCCAUUUCAUGCAUUGGUAUGGUUUUCCAGCCUUGGUGGUCUUUGGCUGAGUUGCCUGGGAAACACUUUGGCUGGUUGGGCUCUGAUGUGGUGACCUGUUCCCUAGUGUGGGUAUGUGUAUUGCAGUAGCCAGACUUGGGUUGGUGCUGCUUUUGCCACCAGU
rnacentral:lncRNA from 1 species